rnacentral:lncRNA from 10 species
CUUUUUAGCAGGGGCCUUACGGGUUCGCGCUUUGGUCCUGGAGGCCUUAUCCUAGCCUCCUCUGUAUCAGCGCCACCAGUCUGGGGCCCGAAAGGAGGGAGCUUUCCCUCUGUCCCCCAGCCUUUGGACUGUCACCAAACAAGCCAUUCGUUCACCAAAUACUUAUUAAGCGCCUACCAUGUGCCUGACAAGGGAGAUGUAACGGUGAGAAAAACUAGGUGUGGUCCAUGUCCUCCAGGGGCUCAGGGGCUCGUGGAAGAAGUGGACAUUGAAGUAUUUAUCACACAAAUGAGUAUAAAAGUACAAUAGCGAUAUCUGCCACGAAGGUGAGCAGACAGAGCUAGCGGGGCUUGCAGGAGGAGUUUUGAUCUUGCAGGGACAGGAAGGAGGAGUUAGCUCCUGCGGGGUGGGAUUGGGGGUGGUGGUGAUAUAGACGUGGGGACAGACUGGAAAACAACAAAAAUAUAAUUAUUUUAGUUCAAAGUUAUUGUGUCUUGAGUUGAAAGGCAGGACAGUUAGCAACACAGUUCAGAUUUCAGUACUGCCCCUGAAAUCUGAACUGUGUACAAAGUCUAAAACGUUUACCGUAGCAAAUUCCUCAUAAAACUCCAUUUGGAAGAGUCCCGAGAGCUAAUUUGUUAAGUAUACUUGCAGAAGGUAGAUGAGGAGACAGAUAAAAUCUUAUUACCUCUUUCAGAUGAGAGGCACUUGAGCCCUGCUCAGCUAUGAGAAUAAGAGAGGGGGAAUUAAUUCUAAUUGAAUACACUUGUUCUCUUAUAGCUGUUGUUCCCCACCAGAACCAAAUGAGCGCAAGAUCUGACAAAGAAAAAAAGAAGUUCAUCUUUUAUUCCCCCAAACCCUUUCAUUUAAAUCAAGAGGGUGGGAUGUGGUUAUUGCUGUGUUUUUAGGCAGAAUCAACGGUUUCUGGGUCUGAGAAGUUGCAUACACACUCUCAGUCCCUGUAUCCUGAGAUGGAGUCACCUGAGGAUCCACAGCAAGUCCUAACCAGGGAUGGGUCUGGGUGAUUAAGGAAGGUUGGCUUCAGAACUGGGCCAGAGGCACUGCUUUGCUUUUGCUGUUUUGAUCAGCUCUGUGCCUGCAUGAGACAAGGAAAAUCAAUGGGAACAGCUGGGGAAACUGAGUUACAGAGCUUUUCUGCACUGAGUCAUCAGGAGCAAAUGCUAGAUCAGAUAGAGUCUCUCUCUCUGCCACCCAGGCCAGAGUGCAGUUGACGCAGGGCAGGGGAGCCCCGAAGUGGAGCAUAGUGUGUCCGGAACUGGUGGGUUCUUGGUCUCCCUGACUUCAAGAAUGAAGCCACGGACCCUCGGGAAAUGAGGCUUCUCCCCAGGACCAGCAUUCCACGAAGGCAGCCCUUUUCUAGAUGGAGAAAACAGAACCUGAAGACACCCGUUUCCCUAAACUGCUCUCGCUCAUGUUUCUACAAGGCCUGGAGCUGAUAGGAAAAACCUCCCUUCUUUCCCAAAUGGUCCCCAGCUGCCCCGUUCACUGAAGGCCCUGCAGUCAGGAACGGUCAGGACUUCACACCCAGUUGUUGUGGGUGUUUGGCCGACACGACACUUCCUCUUGUGUGAUUCAUGGACCCGCAGCAUUGCGUCACCUGGGAGCUUUUGGUAUUGAAGACUCUCAGGGCUCACCCGGAAGGACCUGCUGGGCCAGAAUCUACAUUUUAACAAGAUGCCC